GAACACCAGCAUCAAAUCAUGACGAUUGUGAUCACCCUGCAAGAACACGCACUCCUCAAUUUAGGUCAAGUUGCCUCGGCAGCUGACUGAUUAAGCCAUUAGGUCACACUGCAAUAGGAAGAUCCGAGCACUCGGUUACGACACAGGUGCUAUAAACAGGACUUAAAAGGACGGGCUAUGGAAGAAAGGCACGGUAAACAAGGGCCAAGACAAGUCAACGUGAAAACUAAACAAUUUGGAGUUCCAGAGGGACUAAUAAAAUCUCGGCCCUUUCCUUUGCCGCCGACAGGUAACACGGUACCGGAAAGGCCGAAGGCUCAAAGUCCGAAACCGCCGAAAAAUGUGAAAGCAUGAAAUUCGUUAUUUCCGAGGUGAGAAUGAAGAACCUGAAUCAUCAAGAAUCAUCUCCCACAGAGAUUUCGGAACUCCGCCCCUGAAACUCUACUCUCCAAAUCCUGCCUGGGUCGUCUUGACCUGGACUGGAAUGUCUGUACGAGGCUCAAUAAAAUAAUUUA